rnacentral:rRNA from 1 species
GAUGAACGCUAGCGGCGGGCCUAAUACAUGCAAGUCGAACGGGAAAGGUGGCAACACCUUGAGAGUGGCGUACGGGUGCGUAACGCGUAUACAACCUGCCUGUUACACGGGGAUAGCCUUGCGAAAGCGAGAUUAAUACCCGAUGGUACUAUUGAGCGGCAUCGCUUGGUAGUUAAAGCUGAGGCGGUAACAGAGGGGUAUGCGUCCCAUUAGCUAGUUGGUAGUGUAACGGACUACCAAGGCGACGAUGGGUAGGGGUUCUGAGAGGAGGAUCCCCCACACUGGUACUGAGAUACGGACCAGACUCCUACGGGAGGCAGCAGUAGGGAAUAUUGGGCAAUGGACGGAAGUCUGACCCAGCCACGCCGCGUGCAGGAAGAAGGUCCUCUGGAUUGUAAACUGCUUUUCUUGGGGAAGAAAACCCUUCUGCGGAAGGAAUUGACGGUACUCAAGGAAUAAGCAUCGGCUAACUCCGUG